GCGGCCAUAGCUCAGCAGGUAGAGCACGGUCCUUCCAAGUCCGGUGUCACGAGUUCGAAUCUCGUUGGCCGCU
rnacentral:tRNA from 1 species